CAACCUCUGACGAAGUCCGUGAACGUUG
rfam:Chryseobacterium sp. Hurlburt 01 HurlbutContig25, whole genome shotgun sequence.